UAGUGGCUCUUGAUAUUUUCUUCGCGUCCUCAAACCUCGUUCACACGUUUCAUUCUCUCUCCCUCUCUUUCUCUCUCUGCGUACGGUCACACACUCUAUUCGUAGCUUCAAUUAUCCGAUGCAGGUCGCACAUUCAACCUUCAAUGCUUCGUUCUCUUUCUUUCUCCGAUCCAUCCAUGGAUUCUGAUUCUCAGUUUCUCUGAUUCUCUCGUCGAAAUUCGUUUCCCGAACCGCAUUCACGCGCCAACCUUGCUCGCUUCGCUUCUCUCGCGGCUUCGUGGAUUCCGCUUUCAUGGAACGAAUUGCCGCGGUUUCUGUUCCGUUCUACAACAGCGAGAAUUUUCCUUCUUCUGAAUCCGUUUGGUUUCCAAAAAACCACGCGAAAAAGAGAGGUUAGAGAAUAGAGAUGUUCUUUAAUCUAUACAUGGAGCAAUAAUCGCUUUCGAUUGAAACGUGCGUUUGGAUCUCAGGAAAUGAUGCUACUAAGAUUGUUCAGCUAAAGGAACACUUAUUCAGCCAUUUUUAGACCAAAGACCUGGGAUAUUUGAAGUAUUUCCUUAGUAUUGAGGUGGCUCAAUCAGGAGAUGGUGUUGUGAUCUCUCAAAGAAAGUAUGCUCUUGAUAUUCUGGAGGAAACAGGCAUGCAAGAUUGUAGACCUGUUGAUAGCCCUAUGGAUCCAAAUCUGAAGCUCAUGGCAGAUCAGAGUGUAGUUUAUCCUGACCCCGAGAGGUAUAGGAGACUUGUGGUAAAACUCAUUUAUCUCACAAUUACAAGACCUGAUAUUUCCUUUGCUGUUGGAGUGGUUAGCCAAUUUAUGUAAAAUCCUCAUGUUGAUCAUUGGAAUGCUGUUAUGCGUAUUCUUAGAUAUAUAAAGAGAGCUCCUGGACAAGGAUUGUUGUAUGAAGACAAGGGUAACACACAAGUAUCUGGGUAUUGUGAUGCAGAUUGGGCUGGUUGUCCUAUGGAUAAGAGAUGUACAUCAGGAUAUUGUGUUUCCAUUGGAGGGAAUAUUAUUUCUUGGAAAAGCAAGAAGCAAACUGUUGUUGUUCGAUCCAGUGCAGAGGCUGAAUAUUAAUCUAUGACUAUGGUUACAUGUGAACUUAUGUGGAUUAAACAAUUUCUCCAAGAGUUGAAAUUCUGUGAAGUGGUGCAAAUGAAGUUAUACUGUGAUAAUCAGGCCGCUCUUGACAUUGCUUCAAACCUAGUCUUCCAUGAGAGGACCAAACACAUAUAGAUUGAUUGUCAUUUUAUUCGGGAGAAGCUAUUGUCCAAGGAGAUUGUCACUGAGUUCAUUAAUUCUAAUGAUCAGCCAACAAAUAUUUUGACUAAGUCCUUAAGAGGAACUAGGAUUCAGUCUAUAUGUUCCAAGCUUGGUGCAUAUGAUUUAUAUGCUCUAGCUUGAGGGGGAGUGUUAAAUUUGUGUAUCUUUGAGUGCAUGGUUGCAUAGAUUUUCUGUUUUACUUGGUUCAGAAGACAACAGUGUGCCUUGUCCUAUCAAGCUGUCUCUCACCUAGCUUUUGUAUUGUAUAUAUGUGUUAUUUGAAAGCAAUAAAGGGUGCCUGUGAGAGAAAUUUCCUCACAUAUUCAAAAUCAACUACUAUAAAGGUUAGAGACAAAUAGGACAAUGGAUAUAUACUCAAGAAAGUACUUUUUGUGUGUAUUAUUAUAUUUAUUUGACAAAAUUUAAGAGAUGCUCAAGUUAGUCAAUGUAAUUAUUUUAUAAUUAUUA